rnacentral:misc_RNA from 1 species
UUAUGGAAAGCCAGAAGAGCCUGUGACCCUGCCAUCCCCUGGCCGGUAGGGUUGAGAGACCAUACAUACCAAUUGGUCGUGGAUGCUCCAGAUUUGCGAAACGCAAUAUCAGCAGUUUGGUUUGAUGGAUGGUAAUUCCAAUAGAUAAAAGAACUCAACACAGGAAGAUCACUGCAAGUGCUGAAUACUUGAUUGCUAGAAAAGUUAUAGCUCCGGCAAGUUUGAGCAAAAGAUGAUGGAACACAUAUGGAGAUCAUCAGCAGAACACAAGAGAACAAAGCAGUUCUCAAGGAUUUAUCCAUGGCUAAUCAAUACUGAAAAAAGACGAUAUCAAUUACAGAGAUAUCUCGAUGGAUGAUCCUGCCUUGGGGGAACAAGUUUUGAGAAUGUGGAUAUGUGCUAAAAUUGUUCCCUGAGGUGUGGUUUGAGAGUUG